GGCAGGGUGGCUGAGGCAAAAGGCGGUGGGUUGUAGCCCCACAUACAGAGGUUUAAAUCCUCUCUCUGCUA
rnacentral:tRNA from 1 species